UCUAAAGUACGUCUCCCUCUCUCUAAAGUACAUCUUUCUCUCUCUAAAGUAGUCAUACUUUCUAGAUCUAGAUCUUAUGCUUACAUCUCUCUCAUUCUCUAUCUAAAUCAUAAUUUCUAGAUCUAGAUCUUAUUCAUUUCAUGCCAAUCUGAAUUAUAUUCAUUUGCAAGAUCGUUUCACAAAUCACGUGCGUCAUCUUCUUCUCUAAAUCUCUGUAAGUAUCUUUGGAAUUCAAUAAUGUGUUCAAAACUUCAUUUAAACACAUAAACUCGAAAUGGAGAUUAUUUUUCCGGAUGCAAAGUGGAGAUGAUUUUACUGGCUGGCGAGUGCUCGUGAUGUCAUGCAAAGUGAAGAUGAUUCGAACACGGAUCUUUUGAUUUUUCUGACAUCCAUAUGCGGAAGUGAAAGUGAACAUGGUGUUAGCUAGGCUAACAUUCACCAUUAAAAAAAGAACUCGCAUGCGAUUAAAGAACAAACAAUAAAGUAGCAAUCGUUCAACAAUCAUCAUUAUAUAUUUCGGAUAAGUCCUUCCAUUGUUAAUGCCCAUUUUUGGAUGAAGACGGAUGUUGUUGUGAACGCCAUUUUUGGAAGCAUUACAACUAUUGAUAUAAAAUUCAUUUUUAUUUUCAUUUUCAUUUUUAGUAUGCCCAUUUUUGGAUGAAGACGAAUGUUGUUUGUGAAGGCCAUUUUUUUCGAUGUAACAACUAUAUGUAACAUGUGUAACUUUGAUGUUGUAACACAUGUAAUAAUUAUGUGUAACAUGGCUAUACA